GAUGAACGCUGGCGGCGUGCCUAAUACAUGCAAGUCGAGCGAACAGACGAGGAGCUUGCUCCUCUGACGUUAGCGGCGGACGGGUGAGUAACACGUGGAUAACCUACCUAUAAGACUGGGAUAACUUCGGGAAACCGGAGCUAAUACCGGAUAAUAUAUUGAACCGCAUGGUUCAAUAGUGAAAGACGGUUUUGCUGUCACUUAUAGAUGGAUCCGCGCCGCAUUAGCUAGUUGGUAAGGUAACGGCUUACCAAGGCGACGAUGCGUAGCCGACCUGAGAGGGUGAUCGGCCACACUGGAACUGAGACACGGUCCAGACUCCUACGGGAGGCAGCAGUAGGGAAUCUUCCGCAAGGGGCGAAAGCCUGACGGAGCAACGCCGCGUGAGUGAUGAAGGGCUUCGGAUCGUAAAACUCUGUUAUUAGGGAAGAACAAAUGUGUAAGUAACUAGGCACGUCUUGACGGUACCUAAUCAGAAAGCCACGGCUAACUACGUGC
rnacentral:rRNA from 1 species